rnacentral:rRNA from 1 species
GACGAACGCUGGCGGCGUGCUUAACACAUGCAAGUCGAACGGAAAGGCCCUGCUUUUGUGGGUUGCUCGAUUGGCGAACGGGUGAGUAACACGUGAGUAACCUGCCCUUGACUUUGGGAUAACUUCUGGAAACUGGGGCUAAUACCGGAUAUGAUCUCCUGCUGCAUGGUGGUGGUUGGAAAGUUUCGGCGGUUGUGGAUGUACUCGCGGCUUAUCAGCUUGUUGGUGGGGUAGUGGCUUACCAAGCCUUUGACGGGUAGCCGGCCUGAGAGGGUGAACGGCCACAAUGGGACUGAGAGACGGACCAGAAUCCUACGGGAGGCAGCAGUGGGGAAUAUGGCACAAUGGGCGGAAGCCUGAUGCAGCAACGCCGCGAGCGGGAUGACGGCCUUCGGGUUGUAAACCGCUGUCGCCGGUGACGAAGCGGGAGUGACGGUAAUGGGUAAAGAAGCACCGGCUAACUACGUG